UAGAUUCCUAGAAGUGGAACUGCUGACUCGAAGGCUGGCAUCCAGCAGUGCCCUGGACAAGUGGCUGGAAAAUUAUUUGCUGAAGUUAAGGCUGAAUCAAACCCGGCUGCAUUCUCUGGGUGAAGGCAAAUCUAGUCACUUUUCUCUGCUUUGUUGACAUGUGCUGUGAUUUUAAAAGAAUUUCCCCUCCAGUCAGUGGAUGACAUCUGCUGCUUUGCAAGAAGAUACAGCUCCAUUUUCCUAAUCUGCCAACCCCUGGGAUUUGAAAAUACAGUACUAAGAAUGCUAAAAGAUGUACUGGAAACAAGUCUUCUGGUUUGGGGUUAAUGAGAACGUCCUGGCUUUCAACCAGACCCAGCUUCUAACAGUGACGGUGGCAGACAUGUGGUGGAAUAUGGGGAAGAUUCUGGGAGUACCACCUGGCUAGGAGAUGCUCAGGAUAUUUUUCCAUGGUUAGAAAUGGAAUCAAAUCAAUCUUUCCAAAAGUGGUAAGAAACGGGUGGGGGUUGGGGACGAGUAUCCCCGUUGCAUUGUUGAGGACUCUGCAGUUCACUCACAGGUCAGAGAUGACAUAUGAGUUGAAGAAGGAAGCCAGGUUGUCUCAACAGCGGCAAGGCCACCCUGUUACUGGGGACGCCAUCGUCACAGUGGAGGCUCCUACAUAAGCUCCCAUCCUUAGGAGAUCCUGUGGUCAUUCUUAUGAUGCUCACAGUGUUUAAGGUCACGCGUGGGUGGAAGAAGACCUUUUCUGACCUAUAUCCUUGUCACCACUGAUUUCUGGAAUUACAUUAAAAAAAUUUCCAGUCAAAA